rnacentral:rRNA from 1 species
GAUGAACGCUAGCUACAGGCUUAACACAUGCAAGUCGAGGGGAAACGACAUCGAAAGCUUGCUUUUGAUGGGCGUCGACCGGCGCACGGGUGCGUAACGCGUAUCCAACCUGCCCACCACUUGGGGCUAACCUUGCGAAAGUAAGACUACUACCCAAUGCCGUCUCUAGAAGACAUCUGAAAGUGAUUACAGACUUAUCGGUGAUGGAUGGGGAUGCGUCUGAUUAGCUUGUUGGCGGGGUAACGGCCCACCAAGGCGACGAUCAGUAGGGGUACUGAGAGGAAGGGCCCCCACAUUGGAAAUGAGACACGGUCCAAACUCCUACGGGAGGCAGAAGUGAGGAAUAUUGGUCAAGGGGCGAGAGCCUGAACCAGCCAAGUAGCGUGCAGGAUGACGGCCCUAUGGGUUGUAAACUGCUUUUAUAAGGGAAUAAAGUGAGUCUCGUGAGACUUUUUGCAUGUACCUUAUGAAUAAGGACCGGCUAAUUCCGUGCCAGCAGCCGCCGUAA